AGGUGGUUCUUCCAAACCACAAACACGUCUCAGAAGUAGUUGAAUCAUCUGAAGAAGCCUCAGAAAUUGGAUUUUCUCUAGUGCAGAAGUUCAGACUCUGAAACACUUGUUGUCACAACUGGAUUCUAAAUCUACCACUGCUACCUCCUCUAAUUUUGUUAAGUCAGGUAUUUCUUUCUUUGCUAAUUUUGAUAAAUCAUCUUGGGUUAUAGAUUCAGAAGCAAACAAGCAUAUGACAGGUUCUUUAAACAAAAUUUUGACUUACUCUCUAUGUUCAAGGAAAGAAAAAGUCCGCCUAGCGGACGAGUCUUCGACAUCUAUUUCUGGG
rnacentral:misc_RNA from 1 species